rnacentral:rRNA from 1 species
UACGGGGGGGGCAAGCGUUGUUCGGAAUUACUGGGCGUAAAGGGCCAGUAGGCGGCCAACUAAGUCCGACGUGAAAUCCCAAGGCUUAACCGGGGAACUGCGUCCGAUACUGGAUGGCUUGAGUUUGGGAGAGGGAUGCGGAAUUCCAGGUGUAGCGGUGAAAUGCGUAGAUAUCAGGAGGAACACCUGAGGUGAAGACGGGUUGCUGGGCCGACACUGACGCUGAUGCGCGAAAGCCAGGGGAGCAAACGGG